AACUCCCCCAGGGCGGAAACGCAGCAAGGGUA
rnacentral:sRNA from 1 species